rnacentral:rRNA from 1 species
GUUUGAUCCUGGCUCAGGACGAACGCUGGCGGCGUGCCUAACACAUGCAAGUCGAACGGAGACAGUGGGAUAGUUUACUACUCCACUGUUUUUCUGGCGGACGGGUGAAUAACACGUGGGCGACCGAGCUGUCAGAGGGGAAUAACCGCAAAAAAACUUUGCUAAUACCCCAUACCGUCUUUUAAUCACCUUACAAAUGCAUGAACGGAUAACUCCGCUCUUUGAAGGGCCCGCGCCUGAUUACUUAGUGGGUGAGAUAAGAGCCCACCAUGGCGAAUAUCACUAGCCCAUCUGAAUAGAUGACCGGACACACUGGAACUGACACACCGUCCAACUCCCCGGAGGCACAGUGGGGAAUAUGCAAAUGGAGGGAACCCUGAUGCACCAACGCCGCGUGGAGGAAGAAAGUGUUCAGAUGUACACUCCUGUCUUUUGGGAAGAUAUGACGGUACCAAAAAGGAACCUCGGCUAACUACCUGCUACCGCGGUAAUACUGGUGCAGCGUUGUCCGGAAUACUGGCGAUGAUUAGCUGGGUAGGCGGUCUCAGUCUGGUGAAGCGCCACAUGGUUAUCUGGGCUUGCCAUGAACUGAUGGCUCAGUGUCGAAGGAAUGCGAAUUCCUAGUGUAGUGAAAGCGUAGAUAUUUCCAGGAGGAACACAGUGGCAAGGCGGUUUCUGGCGAUACUGACGCUGUAGGCCGACGUGGAGCAAACGGAUUAAUACCCUGGUAGUCACCUGUAACAUGGAUACUAGUGUUGUGAUGUAUCUGUAACCCUUCUGCGGAUAACACCAUUAAGUAUCCCCACCUGGGAGCGGUCGCCAGUUGUGAACUCAGUGAAUUGACGGGGCCACAAGCACUACAGUGUAAUUCAGCAAGGAAGACCCUGACCGAACUCACUCCCUGUAUCGUAAUGAUGUACAUCCUUCCGCACGGAGCCAGUGGGCAGGGUAACUGAUGUCGUCAGCUCGUGUCGUGAGUGGUUGGUUAGUCCGCACGAGCCAACAGACCCUUUUGUGUAUCAUUAAGAUGAGCUUAUCAUUAAGUACUGCCGGAGACAAUCUCGAGAAGUGGAGAUGACGUCAAUCAGUCUGACCCCUUAUGUUUUGGGCGACACACGUGCUCCAAUGGGUAAAACAACGGGACGCGAAAUAGCGAUAUUGAGCCAAUCCCUAAAAAAUGAUCUCAGUUCGGAUUGCAGGCUGCAACUCGCCUACAUGAAGUCGGAGUUGCUAGUAAUCGCGAAUCAGCAUGUCGCGGUGAAUACGUUCCCGGGCCUUGUACACACCGCCCGUCACACCACGGGAGUUGGAAGCACCCGAAGCCAGAACCUAACCGUAAGGAGACAGCUGUCGAAGGUGAAGCCAAUGACUGGGGUGAAGUCGUAACAAGGUAA